AUAUAAUAUAUUAUGUACAUAAUGUAUAUUAUAUAUAAUAUAUUAUAUAUAAUAUAUUAUAUAUAUAACGUGACAUAUAAUAUAUAUUAUUUAUAUAUAAUGUAUAUUAUAUUUUAUAUAAUAUAUAUUAUACAUAAUAUUAUAUAUAACAUAAUAUAUAAUAUUAUGUAUAAUAUAUAUUAUUAUACAGAUAUUAUAUAUAAUAUAAUAUAUAUAAUUAUAUAUGAAAUAUAAUAAUGUAUAAUUAUAUAUGUAAUAUAAUAAAGUAUAAUAUAUAAUAUACAUUAUAUAUUAUAUAAAAUAUUGUAUAAUGUAAUAUGUAAUAUAUAGCAUAUCAUAAUAUAAUAUAUUUUAUAAUAUAAUAUAUUAUAUAUU
rnacentral:lncRNA from 1 species